rnacentral:tRNA from 1 species
GCUCACUUGGUGAAAUGGGAAACACGGCAGACUCAAAAUCUGUUCCAUUAAGGGUUAUCGGUUCAAGUCCGAUAGUGAGCA